rnacentral:rRNA from 1 species
CUCGUCAGCUCCCAGAAGUUAAGCUGCGUCGGGUCCCGUUAGUACCUAGAAGGGUGACCGACUUGGGAAUACGGGAUGCUGUUGGCA